GAUGAACGCUGGCGGCGUGCCUAAUACAUGCAAGUAGAACGCUGAAGCUUGGUGCUUGCACCGAGCGGAAGAGUUGCGAACGGGUGAGUAACGCGUAGGUAACCUGCCUCUUAGCGGGGGAUAACUAUUGGAAACGAUAGCUAAUACCGCAUAAAAGUCGGCAUUGCAUGAUGUUGACUUGAAAGGUGCAACUGCAUCACUAAGAGAUGGACCUGCGUUGUAUUAGCUAGUUGGUGAGGUAACGGCUCACCAAGGCGACGAUACAUAGCCGACCUGAGGGGGUGAUCGGCCACACUGGGACUGAGACACGGCCCAGACUCCUACGGGAGGCAGCAGUAGGGAAUCUUCGGCAACGGACGGAAGUCUGACCGAGCAACGCCGCGUGAGUGAAGAAGGUUUUCGGAUCGUAAAGCUCUGUUGUAAGAGAAGAACGAGUGUGAGAGUGGAAAGUUCACACUGUGACGGUAACUUACCAGAAAGGGACGGCUAACUACGUGCCAGCAGCCGCGGUAAUACGUAGGUCCCGAGCGUUAUCCGGAUUUAUUGGGCGUAAAGCGAGCGCAGGCGGUUAGAUAAGUCUGAAGUUAAAGGCUGUGGCUUAACCAUAGUACGCUUUGGAAACUGUUUAACUUGAGUGCAGAAGGGGAAAGUGGAAUUCCAUGUGUAGCGGUGAAAUGCGUAGAUAUAUGGAGGAACACCGGUGGCGAAAGCGGCUCUCUGGUCUGUAACUGACGCUGAGGCUCGAAAGCGUGGGGAGCAAACAGG
rnacentral:rRNA from 1 species